rnacentral:lncRNA from 1 species
GUGUGGUACCCAGCUUUUUUUGCCCCUCUUCAGCGGUGGGAUAUAGCGAUUUCCUAUGGUCCUCUAGCAUGCGCUCGAACUUGGCUUUCUCUUUAUCACUUUCACAUUCUCUUUGUGCAUCACGGAUGGCAUCACCAAAAGCAUCAUCGCCUCGAUCAUCUUCUGCCGCCACCUCUUCUUCAUUAUCUCCCCCCAUUGCA